UGGGAUAUAACUCAUACAGAAUAUCUUUGCCCUGUCUUCAAGCUAAUUUAGGUUUGGUUUUGCAACAGCAGCAUGCAAUGCUGCAUUUGGAUUACCAUCACAAAUUUCUGGCUAGUUUUCACAGCAAUUUUAAACUUGUUUUGUCACACAAACACAAUAUUGCAGCUUAGGAAAAUGUGCUGUAUUAGGUGCCUGGCCACAGACUCUGUCCCAGGGCUGGUGCAUGACAAAUGAAUAUUGCUCAAUCUUCUCCUGCUGCUGGACUCACCCAGCAGUCUAUUCUUAGGGUAGUUCUGUAGCCACUGUGAUAAAUGCUUCAUGCAGUCAGCGUUCACGUCAAAAGCCUGUACAAAUAGUGAAUAUUGUGCAAAAAUACUCUGAAAUAUGAUCCAAUACAUGACUGAAUUUUCUUCCUGUUUCCAGAAAUGAACUACCACUAUGAGGAGAAAAAGAUGCCAGUGCAGCAGAAGGCCUGACUCAGGGGAUUAUUCUGUGGGAGCUUGUUCCCUUACUGCUAGGCAGCUGACUGAGGUGCCUAAGCCAGGAAGCCAGGCAUUCUCAGACUUGCACUGUUAUAAGAGCGAGCCAUGCCCUCUGCAGGGUGAUUCUGUUCAUCUGAGAUUAAACAUAAUGAAAGAACACAAAGAGGCAUCAUCAUCUCUGAUUAUGAGGGAACCUGAAUAAACCUGUGGUCCCCAGCUGGGCGCCUGAGCUGCAAGUAGCAACUGAUUCAGUGUCACAUACGAGAUCCAUGGCUAUUGUGCUCCUCUCUGUUCCUGCAUGAGAGAUCAUCAACAUGAAACUAAAAUGCUUUGGAGAAUGAGGGUAUGCCAAGAAACACUAGAGCCAGAAGAAAAUGAUCAAGAAAUACCAGAGGAAAAUGCCACUCAAAUUUAGCCGAAAAUAUUGUAAAUUCUGAAUUGUACUACCCAGUGAAAGAAUUCAGUCACAUCCAUGUUCACUGAAUCCUUCUCUCUCUUUGCAAAAAAUAAAAAUAAAAAUAAAAAUAAAAAAUAAAAUCA